ACGUGCUCUACCGAUUGAUGGCUCAGUGAGGCGUCCGGACUGGCCCAGAGAGGUGGGCAACUACCACUCAGGGCCGGAAAGCUCUCCAAACUCGGUCAUUUAGAGGAAGUAAAAGUCGUAACAAGGUCUCCGUUGGUGAACCAGCGGAGGGAUCAUUACCGAGUUAUACAACUCAUCAACCCUGUGAACAUACCUAAAACGUUGCUUCGGCGGGAACAGACGGCCCUGUAACAACGGGCCGCCCCCGCCAGAGGACCCCUAACUCUGUUUUUAUAAUGUUUUUCUGAGUAAACAAGCAAAUAAAUUAAAACUUUCAACAACGGAUCUCUUGGCUCUGGCAUCGAUGAAGAACGCAGCGAAAUGCGAUAAGUAAUGUGAAUUGCAGAAUUCAGUGAAUCAUCGAAUCUUUGAACGCACAUUGCGCCCGCCAGUAUUCUGGCGGGCAUGCCUGUUCGAGCGUCAUUACAACCCUCAGGCCCCCGGGCCUGGCGUUGGGGAUCGGCAGAAGCCCCCUGUGGGCACACGCCGUCCCUCAAAUACAGUGGCGGUCCCGCCGCAGCUUCCAUUGCGUAGUAGCUAACACCUCGCAACUGGAGAGCGGCGCGGCCAUGCCGUAAAACACCCAACUUCUGAAUGUUGACCUCGAAUCAGGUAGGAAUACCCGCUGAACUUAAGCAUAUCAAUAAGCGGAGGAAAAGAAACCAACAGGGAUUGCCCCAGUAACGGCGAGUGAAGCGGCAACAGCUCAAAUUUGAAAUCUGGCUCUCGGGCCCGAGUUGUAAUUUGUAGAGGAUGCUUUUGGUGAGGUGCCUUCCGAGUUCCCUGGAACGGGACGCCAUAGAGGGUGAGAGCCCCGUCUGGUUGGACACCGAUCCUCUGUAAAGCUCCUUCGACGAGUCGAGUUUUUGUGGGAGAAUCG
rnacentral:rRNA from 1 species